UACAGAGGUCUCAAGCGUUGUUCGGAUUCAUUGGGCGUAAAGGGUGCGUAGGCGGCGCGGUAAGUCGGGUGUGAAAUCUCGGAGCUUAACCCCGAAACUGCAUUCGAUACUGCCGUGCUUGAGGACUGGAGAGGAGACUGGAAUUUACGGUGUAGCGGUGAAAUGCGCAGAUAUCGGGAGGAACACCAAUGGCGAAGGCAGCUCGCUGGGACGGUACUGACGCUGAGGCGCGAAAGCGUGGGGAGCAAACAGG
rnacentral:rRNA from 1 species